rnacentral:rRNA from 1 species
UUACCGUGAAAAAAUUAGAGUGUUCAAAGCAGGCAGAUCCAAUUUUCUGCCACCGAAUACAUUAGCAUGGGAUAAUGGAAUAGGACCCUGUCCUCCUAUUUUCAGUUGGUUUUGGCAGCGCGAGGACUAGGGUAAUGAUUAAUAGGGAUAGUUGGGGGCAUUAAUAUUUAAUUGUCAGAGGUGAAAUUCUUGGAUUUAUGAAAGAUUAACUUCUGCGAAAGCAUCUGCCAAGGAUGUUUUCAUUAAUCAAGAACGAAAGUUAGGGGAUCGAAGACGAUCAGAUACCGUCGUAGUCUUAACCAUAAACGAUGCCGACCAGCGAUUAGGAGACGUUGAAUACAAAACACCACCAUCGGUGCGGUCGUCCUUGGCGGUUGGUCUC